ACACCCAGGCCUGAUUACUGCCACACCUGUUCUCAAUCAAGAAAUCACUUAAAUAGGACCUGCCUGACAAAGUGAAGUAGACCAAAAGAUCCUCAAAAGCUAGACAUCAUGCCGAGAUCCAAAGAAAUUCAGGAACAAAUGAGAAAGAAAGUAAUUGAGAUCUAUCAGUCUGGAAAAGGUUAUAAAGCCAUUUCUAAAGCUUUGGGACUCCAGCGAACCACAGUGAGAGCCAUUAUCCACAAAUGGCGAAAAAAUGGAACAGUGGUGAACCUUCCCAGGAGUGGCCGGCCGACCAAAAUUACACCAAGAGCGCAGCGACGACUCAUCCAAGAGGCCACAAAAGACCCCACAACAACAUCCAAAGAACUGCAGGCCUCACUUGCCUCAGUUAAGGUCAGUGUUCAUGACUCCACCAUAAGAAAGAGACUGGGCAAAAAUGGCCUGCAUGGCAGAGUUCCAAGACGAAAACCACUGCUGAGCAAAAACAACAUUAAGGCUCGUCUCAUUUUUGCCAGAAAACAACUUGAUGAUCCCCAAGACUUUUGGGAAAAUACUCUGUGGACUGACGAGACAAAAGUUGAACUUUUUGGAAGGUGUGUGUCCCAUUACAUCUGGUGUAAAAGUAACACCGCAUUUCAGAAAAAGAACAUCAUACCAACAGUAAAAUAUGGUGGUGGUAGUGUGAUGGUCUGGGGCUGUUUUGACCAUGGUUAUUCCUCUGGUUCUGAAAUUCAGUGGCAGCCCUUUGAAUUCGUGGCAAAUAAAUAUAAUGACAUGAUGUGCUACCUGAUUUACCCUAAGUUGUUCUGUUGGAAAUUUACUCACCAUAAUUGAUUAGGGGUUGAAACAACAAACCUUGAAAUAAUAUGGUUACAUUCACCUGUUUUGCGCCAGCGGCUGCCAAACAGUGUUUAUGCUGUUAUGUAUCGUUCUGUAUUUCUGGUGAACCUGCUUCAAAUCAAACAAGUUGUACAUCAAAUUACAGCUUAGAUUCCCCUCUUUCCAACAAGUAUUGGCUUUCCAUCCUAGCACAUUGUGCCUGCUUAUAAUCACACCUUUAGUGUGGUCAAUAUUGGAUACACCAGGUUAGUGCAAUCCAGGUCGAAAAGUCCAAUUGUUGAGCUUGACUCUAGUCUGGCACUGUGAAGAGACAUGAGAGGUGUAGAAUAAGUGGGAGGCCUCGCCCGCCGGUGAAAUACCACUACUCUUAUGGUUUUUUCACUUAUCCAGUGAGGUGGGGAAGCAGGCCCCGAGCGGGUUCUCGUUUCUGGCGUCAAGCACCCAGCCUGUGACCCAUCCUGGGGACAGUGACAGGUGGGGAUUUUGACUGGGGCGGUACACCUGUCAAACGGUAACGCAGGUGUCCUAAGGCGAGCUCAGGAAGUACAGAAACCUCCCGUGGAGCAGAAGGGCAAAAGCUUGCUUGAUCUUGAUUUUCAGUAUGAGUAUAGACUGUGAAUAUAGACUGUGUAUAGACUCACGAUCCUUCAGAUUUUUGGGGGUUUAAGCAGGAGGUGUCAGAAAAGUUACCACAGGGAUAACUGGCUUGUGGUGGCCAAGCGUUCAUAGCGACGUAGCUUUUUGAUUCUUCAAUGUCGGUUCUUCCUAUCAUUGUGAAGCAGAAUUCACCAAGCACUGGAUUGUUCACCCACUAAUAGGGUGCUGAGCUGGUUUUAGACCGUCAUGAGACAGGUUUGUUUUACCCUACUGACGAAUAGUAAUCCUGCUCAGUACGAGUGGAACCGCAGGUUCAGACAUUUGGUGCAUGUGCUUCACUGUGGAGCCAAUGGGGCGAAGCUACCAUCUGUGGGCUUAUGACUGAACGCCUCUAAGUCAGAGGUCUCGGUUAGCCGGACCUCGUGUGCCUUUUACACAGCCCACCUCCAUCCACCGCCUCAGUGCACAUUGCGAUACAUCCCUGUCAUUUUGGGGGUUACGGGGGCACCCGCAGGCAGUAAUGGUCAGGACCUCUGCGGUUCCGGGGGACCCCCAGGGCCGAGGGUUUAAGAGUAAAUCUGGGCCUGAAACUGAAAGUGUGUCACAUGGCUGACAACAUUAUCAAGCCACAGUCCAUUGUCUAGCUUUUUAGUCUCUCUUCCUCCAUCUCC
rnacentral:rRNA from 1 species